rnacentral:rRNA from 1 species
GACGAACGCUGGCGGCGUGCUUAACACAUGCAAGUCGAACGGAAAGGCCCUGCUUUUGUGGGGUGCUCGAGUGGCGAACGGGUGAGUAACACGUGAGUAACCUGCCCUUGACUUUGGGAUAACUUCAGGAAACUGGGGCUAAUACCGGAUAGGAGCUCCUGCUGCAUGGUGGGGGUUGGAAAGUUUCGGCGGUUGGGGAUGGACUCGCGGCUUAUCCGCUUGUUGGUGGGGUAGUGGCUUACCAAGGCUUUGACGGGUAGCCGGCCUGAGAGGGUGACCGGCCACAUUGGGACUGAGAUACGGCCCAGACUCCUACGGGAGGCAGCAGUGGGCAAUAUUGCACAAUGGGCGGAAGCCUGAUGCAGCAACGCCGCGUGCGGGAUGACGGCCUUCGGGUUGUAAACCGCUUUCGCCUGUGACGAAGCGUGAGUGACGGUAAUGGGUAAAGAAGCACCGGCUAACUACGUG